UACGUAGGGGGCGAGCGUUGUCCGGAUUUACUGGGCGUAAAGAGCGCGUAGGCGGAGAUCUAAGCGUGGCCUGAAAGCCCCCGGCUCAACCGGGGAGUGCGGCUGCGAACUGGGUUUCUUGAGGACGAUAGAGGAGAGUGGAAUUCCUGGUGUAGCGGUGAAAUGCGUAGAUAUCGGGAAGAACACCCGUGGCGAAGGCGGCCUUCUGGUCCAGUACUGACACUCAAGUGCGAAAGCGUGGGGAGCAAACAGG
rnacentral:rRNA from 1 species